AACGAACGCUGGCGGCAGGCUUAACACAUGCAAGUCGAACGCAUCGCAAGAUGAGUGGCAGACGGGUGAGUAACGCGUGGGAACAUACCCUUUUCUACGGAAUAGCUCUGGGAAACUGGAAUUAAUACCGUAUACGCCCUACGGGGGAAAGAUUUAUCGGGGAAGGAUUGGCCCUCGUUGGAUUAGCUAGUUGGGGGGGUAAAGGCCUACCAAGGCGACGAUCCAUAGCUGGUCGGAGAGGAUGAUCAGCCACAUUGGGACUGAGACACGGCCCAAACUCCUACGGGAGGCAGCAGUGGGGAAUAUUGGACAAUGGGCGCAAGCCUGAUCCAGCCAUGCCGCGUGAGUGAUGAAGGCCUUAGGGUUGUAAAGCUCUUUCACCGAUGAAGAUAAUGACGGUAGUCGGAGAAGAAGCCCCGGCUAACUUCGUGCCAGCCGCCGCGGUAAAAC
rnacentral:rRNA from 1 species